CCGGCCCCGGAGUGGUGGGGGAUGGGAUCCCGCAGCGUCCUGGGCGGGUGUCUGGGCGACACCUCCUCCGCCUCCGCCUGCGCUCGCGGUGGCUCUCGGCUUCGCGUUUGCCAUUGGUUGCGCGAUUCAGAAAAGGCUCCAGGAUAAAUGAGGCCGGGGGCGGGCUUGGCCACUGGUGGGGGAGGGGAGUGCAGGGGCGGAGGUUUCUGGCUAGGGGCUGGGGUCGUCGGGGGCCUGGGCCGCUGGAGGAGAGAAGUCAAAGUGGGAAAAGUCGGUAAAGGGAAACCCUCUCUUCCUGUAGUUUUUAAAGGGGGAGGAGUGGAGUAGGCUGGUACUUUUAUUUAAGUAAUUUUAGUUGGAGAACUUGAGACUUAAAACUGGAAGACCGUCGUGCAUUACCCCUAGGUGGUAUUCGCAUUUGAAAAAUUGUUCGAGUCUCUUUCUGCCUCUUUUCUGCCUGGAUUUGGCCAUGAGAGCCAUACAUAAUUUUCUCUAUAUGUAAUGAGUACAAUGGUGGUUGUCGGGGGAGGAUUUGGGCCCGGUGGAGCCUUGUGGGCCAACAAAAUGUGAACUGGAGACGAGCAAUACGGAAACGAAGGCAGUGCUGGGGUUCUAGUGGAAUCUCCAACUGUCGUUUAAAGAUUGUGUACUCCACUCAAAGGUUUCAUUUGCACCAGAUACUUGUGUGUUUUUAACAGGUAUAUUUUUAACAGGUAUUCUAUUGAAAAGAUAGAAAAUUCUAAUUUUUUAAGUGAAAGAAAUUCUAUAUAACAUGAAAAUAUAGACAAGAAUCUUUAAUGACUUGGUACUCUUACUGGUAGAAAAAAGGUAUCCUGAAUAGAGGAAAUAUUAUGAUUUACACUGGAAACAUCUUCGGUAAUUGAUACAGCCUUGCUUCUCUGUCAAAACCGUUGUUAGCAUUUUAAAAUGUGUAUUUUUCAUUUAAAAGAUGAAUGGUAGACUUAAACAUGGGAAUUGUUGCAUGAUAUAAAGAGUAUUUACAUUUUGUCUUUUAAAGGGAACUUACUUUGUAAUUUUGUGUUAAGGAACCGGAAGGUGUCAGAUCAUCCAUUUUAAAUGCAACUGUUCUUUCUUACAGGUUUUUCUUUCCUGCCAAGCGAAUCCAACAUUUUAAACGUAAACACACUUUCACAAUAAUUUCAUUCACGUUUAAUUUAAUAAAAUGUUGUUACUUUAUAAAAUAGGGGGACAGACGUGUUUUUCUGUUACAGUAUUUGUAACUGAAUUAAGAGCUCAGCCUUGAAAGAACGUUUUGGUAAAAUUUUUCUUUAAGUUUAUGGUUAGGUUGAACUUUUUAAAAGCAUUUUUUUCUUUUUUUAAAAAUAACUUUAGUUCUAAAGAAGAAAUGUAUUCUUUCUUUUGGCCUCUGUGGUAUGCAAAAUGUAAAUAUCAAAAAUUAUGGAUUUAUUUUAAAUGUACCUGUUGUAGAACAAAAGCCAUUUGGAGAAAUGUUCUACAUUCAUUCAUUUGGUAAUAUUUGCACUUCUCAAUACCACUGUAAAUUUUACAACCUGUUGAUCAUUUAACACUUUUAGUAAUUUUUCAUAAAAACAAAUUGUGUGUGUUCAGCUUGCUUCCAAAAUCAAUUCAACUAUGGCUUCUGGGUUGACUGUAUUUGCUCUUAUUAAAACUGAGACCUAAGGAAAUAUCUACUUCUAAAGCAUGGAAUAAAUUGUUUAUUUUCCAUAAAUACUAGUCCAUGCUUGUCUGGCACUAUCAAACAAAUCUAACAGCUGGAAUUUAAAACAAGUGUGUGUUUUGAUGAAAUAUGUUCCUGGGACUCCUGUUAACCUAAUCUGUGUAUUAUUGUAACAAACUGGAUAGUCCAUCUAGGACCUUAAAAACAUACAUGAGUAAUACAAGCUCAGACAUCAAAGAGAGAGGUGGAUACAGUCCACUCCACUUCCAGUCUUCCAAGCAUUUAAGGGUUGAGUCAAAAGAUCUUAGGUAGUUGUCUUGCACUAGCACUUCAAGUACAAAGAUACCUUUGGUGAAUUUUCAAGAAUGAAUAUAAAAUCAAUUUAAGUUCCAGUUUUUUUUUUUUAAUGACUCUCACACAAAUCAACUGGUUAUAGGCUACUUCAGCUUCUUCCUGAAGCAGUUGUAGCUCCUAAUUAAUGUGAACUCCACGAAGAAAGAACUCCCACCAUUUUAUGUGCUCUGGGAUGCGGCUGAGUCUUUCCAAUUGCAGUCUGUUUACUCUUUGGACAGCUGCAUCUCCUCCUUAUCUGCUGAACUGAGGACUGUACAAAUGUUUCUUGUGGGUCAGUGUAAUAUUAAAGAAUAGCUAUGUUUAGAAGGCCAGUUACCGUUGCUGUACCCACACGUCAGGGGCAAAGGCUGAGUGGGCAGAUGGGGGGCUGCCACCCCUCCUCACGCCCGGCUUGGGACCAGCCUGGAGUCUCAAGCCGAAACCCCUCACGCGGGUGGGCACACAAUGCCCGGCGUGUCGCCUGGGCCUCCUCGGAGGUGCUUUAACAGGCUCUUGCGCUUUUGAACGGCCCUCCUGGACUCUGAUCUGUUUAAACUAGAGGCGUUAAUAAGUGAUAACCUGGAUCUGCCCUCCUUGGAAGCUGCCUGCCUAUAUUUUAUUGUUUAAAAUAAAUAAAAAUGGUGCCCCGGGAGAGAAGAUGGGGUUGUUUCCUUUUUCCUCUGGCUCUGCCCCGAGAAAGAGGGCGGGAUCCUCACGGCUCACAGUGGGGAGGGUCUUUCGUCGGCCGCCGGCUCGCCUCGGAGGGCCUGGACCACUGGACCGCCCUUCCCCGGGGCCCUGCCGCGGGACCGCG
rnacentral:tRNA from 10 species